AAUCAACGCUGGCGGCGUGCCUCAGACAUGCAAGUCGAACGCUGCUGUUCGCCUUCGGGUGGACAGCGGAGUGGCGCACGGGUGAGUAACACGUAGGUAAUCUACCUUUGGGUGGGAAUAACAGCCGGAAACGGGCUGCUAAUACCGCAUAAUGCAGCGGCAUCACAUGAUGACAGUUGUUAAAGCGAGGGAUCGUAAGACCUCGCGCCUGAAGAGGAGCCUGCGGCAGAUUAGGUAGUUGGUGAGGUAAUGGCUCACCAAGCCUGCGAUCUGUAACCGGCCUGAGAGGGCGGUCGGUCACACUGACACUGACAUACGGGUCAGACUCCUACGGGAGGCAGCAGUCGGGAAUUUUGGGC
rnacentral:rRNA from 1 species